GACAAAUUUUUUCACGGUAGAGAGGUAAUUAGUUGAAUAGCCUCCAGAGAGAGAAAGUUCCAUCUUCUCCCUUAAAACUCAGCUUCUCUUCUCAGAUUUGGUUAAGACUGGCGUGCUUGGACUUACACAGCCACGACGACGUUGUUUGGUUGCGGUGGAAGAGGUUCCCGAAGAGAUCUCCAGCCAGAGCUAACAGAUAUAAUUGAUUAUGACAAAGAAGACGCCGGAUCUUGUAGAGGUACGGAGAAGUUCACCUGCAAACGUCUUCUUCUCUGUUUUUUACUUAGCUCCUUGUAAGAUUUUGUUUGUCCGGUGACCAAAUCCAUCAACUCACUCCAUGUUUUGAGAUCUUUACUCGGGUCAGAUGUGUUUAUAGCUUCAAAAAGGCUGAAUCUGAGGCGUCCUUGUCUGGAUUUUAGUGUUUAUCUUUCUUUACCUUUGUUCUAGCUUCGGUGCGAGAUAGUGGUGUGAUGGUGUGUGGAGAGUAGAACAUGUCUAACAUCUCUGAGAAGUUUCAGGUUGCUUGUCCCAUUCUAGGAAAGAGUCAUUCUCGCGGCCACUGAAUAAGUGUAUUAUCCGGUUUGUCUUUUGCUCUUGUGUUCCUCAGUGGCUUCGUAUGGUUGGAGCAUUAUAAUGAGGUUGAGGGUAUUAAGAUUUCUGAUGAAGGUUUGUUUGAGGAGGGAGCUUAUCCCCAAUUGUUGUUCUUCUCUGGUUGGUUUCUGAUGUUAUUCGUAUUGGUUCUGGCUUGGUACCAUGAACUGAAGGUUCAAGUAAGUUUGGUUUUGUUUCGUUGUUAUGGCCACUGCAUCGUUUCCUCUCUCGUUAAGAGUUUCGGCUGUUCAAAAGUGUAGAAAGAUUAAUAUUAUUUUCCUUUGUCAA